rnacentral:rRNA from 1 species
CAAUAGCGUAUAUUAAAGUUGUUGCAGUUAAAAAGCCCGUAGUUGGAUUUCUGGGAGGGUGCCGCCGUCCGGCGUGUCCGUGUGCAGUGGCGCCCUUCCAUCCUUCUGUUAGCGUCUCUUGGCAUUCAUUUGCUGGUGGCGGGCUCAGAUAUUUUACCUUGAGAAAAUUAGAGUGUUUCAGGCAGGCUAGGCCGGAAUACAUUAGCAUGGAAUAAUGGAAUAGGACUACGGUCUCUUUGUUGGUUUGAGGGACUGCAGUAAUGAUUAAUAGGGAUAGUUGGGGGCAUUAGUAUUUAAUUGUCAGAGGUGGAAUUCUCAGAUUUGUUAAAGACUAACUUAUGCGAAAGCAUUUGCCAAGGAUGUUUNCAUUAA